AACGCAUAUUGCGCUCUUUGGUAUUCCGAAGAGCAUGCUUGUUUGAGUAUCAGUAAACACCUCAAAGCUUUUGGAUUUUUUAAUCGAAAAGCUUUGGACUUGAGCAAUCCCAACACCAAUCUUUUUGAGAUCGGUGGCGGGUUGCUUGAAAUGCGGGUGCAGCUGGACAUUCUCCUGAGCUAAAAGCAUAUUCAUUUAGUCCCGUCAAACGGAUUAUUACUUUUGCUGCAGCUAACAUAAAGGGAGUUUGACCGUAUUGGCUGACUGAUGCAGGAUUUCACAAGGGUCGGCAACGAUUCUUGUUAAACUCGAUCUCAAAUCAAGUAAGACUACCCGCUGAACUUAA
rnacentral:misc_RNA from 1 species